CGGGGGGAGCAAGCGUUGUUCGGAUUUACUGGGCGUAAAGGGCGCGUAGGCGGCGCAACAAGUCACUUGUGAAAUCUCCGGGCUUAACUCGGAGCGGCCAAGUGAUACUGUCGAGCUAGAGUGCGGAAGGGGCAACUGGAAUUCUCGGUGUAGCGGUGAAAUGCGUAGAUAUCGAGAGGAACACCUGCGGCGAAGGCGGGUUGCUGGGCCGACACUGACGCUGAGGCGCGAAAGCCAGGGGAGCGAACGGGAUUAGAUACCCCGGUAGUCCUGGCCUUAAACGAUGGAUGCUUGGUGUCCGGGGUUACAUAGUCCCCGGGUGCCGUCGCUAACGCCUUAAGCAUCCCGCCUGGGGAGUACGCACGCAAGUGUG
rnacentral:rRNA from 1 species